rnacentral:rRNA from 1 species
AGCGAACGCUGGCGGCAGGCCUAACACAUGCGAGUCGAACGAAGUCUUCGGACUUAGUGGCGGACGGGUGAGUAACACGUGGGAACGUGCCUUUAGGUUCGGAAUAACUCAGGGAAACUUGUGCUAAUACCGAAUGUGCCCUUCGGGGGAAAGAUUUAUCGCCUUUAGAGCGGCCCGCGUCUGAUAGCUAGUUGGUGAGGUAAAGGCUCACCAAGGCGACGAUCAGUAGCUGGUCUGAGAGGAUGAUCAGCCACAUUGGGACUGAGACACGGCCCAAACUCCUACGGGAGGCAGCAGUGGGGAAUCUUGCGCAAUGGGCGAAAGCCUGACGCAGCCAUGCCGCGUGAAUGAUGAAGGUCUUAGGAUUGUAAAAUUCUUUCACCGGGGACGAUAAUGACGGUACCCGGAGAAGAAGCCCCGGCUAACUUCGUGCCAGCCGCCGCUGUAA